UACGGAGGAUGCAAGCGUUAUCCGGAAUUACUGGGCGUAAAGCGCACGUAGGCGGCUUGGUAUGUCGGGUGUGAAAUCCCCGGGCUCAACCUGGGAACUGCAUCCGAAACUGCCUUGCUCGAGUAUGGGAGAGGGAAGUGGAAUUUCCGGUGUAGCGGUGAAAUGCGUAGAUAUCGGAAGGAACAUCAGUGGCGAAGGCGACUUCCUGGACCAAUACUGACGCUCAGGUGCGAAAGCGUGGGGAGCAAACAGG
rnacentral:rRNA from 1 species